CCUACGGGAGGCUGCAGUGAGGAAUAUUGGUCCAUGGACGAGAGUCUGAACCAGCCAAGUAGCGUGAAGGAUGACUGCCCUAUGGGUUGUAAACUUCUUUUAUAUGGGAAUAAAAUGUUCCAAGUGUGGGAUUUUGUAUGUACCAUAUGAAUAAGGAUCGGCUAACUCCGUGCCAGCAGCCGUGGUAAUACGGAGGGUCCGAGCGUUAUCCGGAUUUAUUGGGUUUAAAGGGAGCGUAGGUGGAUUGUUAAGUCAGUUGUGAAAGUUUGCGGCUCAACCGUAAAAUUGCAGUUGAAACUGGCAGUCUUGAGUACAGUAGAGGUGGGCGGAAUUCGUGGUGUAGCGGUGAAAGGCUUAGAGAUCACGAAGAACUCCGAUUGCGAAGGCAGCUCACUGGACUGCAACUGACACUGAGGCUCGAAAGUGUGGGUAUCAAACAGGAUUAGAUACCCGAGUAGUC
rnacentral:rRNA from 1 species